CUCUGUCACAUGAUAGGCCUCUGUCUCAAGAGUCUUUUCCUUCAAGGGUCAACAUUGACACCAGAAUGAGUGUUUGGUUGAUCAUGUUGCAGCAGGUUGACUUGACCAGGUGCUGCUAGUUAGGUGUUGCUAUCUACAGUACAGAGACGACCUCAAAGCUGAAUAUUUUCCAGUGACAUCACGUUGGUUUGAAACCUGUUUACCUCGAUGCUAGACAAUCCCCUUCAUGUCACAACAUGGGUUUCAGAUAGAAGGUGAAAACAAGCUGAAAACGUUCCUCUCCAUCGAACCAAUCGCUGCUCGUAUGUCCUUUCAUGGUAAAGUACAUCUAUUCAUGAACAUGGAAAUACACAGCAAAGACCUUGUUACUCAAAGACCCAGCUACUCUCUGACAGUCACCAUCAGACCAUCAGACCACCAGAUGGACAGGCUGUGUGUUUCUCUGAUUGCAUUCUUGUGUGCUGUUUCCUCCAGUCAGGAUGGGAUCUCUGCAGCAGAGGUGGAGCUGAGAGUCAGACCAGGAGACAACGUUGUUCUUCACUGUGAUGUCAAACACCAUGAUAAAACACAUUGGCAUAGAAACAGCUCCAUUGAGAAUGUGGGUAAUUUCAGUGUUUCAAACCAGGAAAUAAUGGACAAUCCUGUCCCUCGCUUCUAUUUCCUGUGGCGUUCUCAAAAGUUCUGGGAUCUGCUGAUUGAGAAUGUGACUGAAUCUGACCUGGGACUCUACUACUGUGGGAGCUGGAAGAAGAAGUUGUUGAACUUUGAAGGGGUUAGCGAUACAGUAGAAACGUUCAUAUCUAACAAUGGAAAAGUCAACACCAGACUUUCAUUUGAAACCAGUCCUCCUGACUGUCUGUUGCCAGAAACCAGUCCUCCAGAGCCCUCCUCCUCCCCUCCUCCUGUAGACUGUGGGCUGUGUUGGAUGUUGCUGUUAAGUCUGUGUCCUGUGUCUGCUCUCCUCUCCUCUCUCCUCUCCUCCACCUGUGUCUACUCCUUCUGCAGAACAACAGCUACAACUGAGACUCAGGUUCCUCUGAACAGGACUACCACCAGGGGGGGUGACAGCAGAGAGAAGACCUAUACCAUCUAACAGUGAGACCUAUACCAUCAAUACCAUCAGAGUGUGAGACCUAUACCAUCCAUCAAUACCAGUGGAGUGAGACCAAUACCAUCCAUCAAUACCAGCAGAGUGAGACCUAUACCAUCCAUCAAUACCAGCAGAGUGAGACCUAUACCAUCCAUCAAUACCAUCAGAGUGUGAGACCUAUACCAUCCAUCAAUACCAGUGGAGUGAGACCAAUACCAUCCAUCAAUACCAGCAGAGUGUGAGACCUAUACCAUCCAUCAAUAC
rnacentral:lncRNA from 1 species